rnacentral:lncRNA from 10 species
GCAAUUUUGCCACGUCUGAAAGCAUUUUUGGUUAUCACAACUUGGGAGCAGCUGCUGGCAUCUAUACUCCUUUGAGCAUUUCUUGUACAAAAGAAGAGAGGAGAUCCAAAUAAACAUACUCAGAAAUGAAAAUGAGACAUUGCAACUGAUACCACAGAAAUACAAAAGAUCAUUAGAGACUAUUAUGAACAACUAUAUAGUCAUAAACUAGAAACCUAGAGGAAAUGGAUAAAUUCCUGGAAAUAUACAGCCUACUGAUAUUAAACAAGGAAGAAAUAGAAAUUCUGAACAUACAAAUAACAAGUAAUGAGAAUGCAUCGAUAAUAAAAAAAAUUGCCAGAUUUUUUAUUCCAAAAAAUCCCAGGCCCAGGUGGCUUUUUUUUAAGUUUCAAAAAAAGGCCAGCACCAGAUGGAUUCACAGAUGAAGUCUGCCAAAUGUAAAGAGAAGAACUGUACCAAUCUUCCUGAUACUGUUCUAAAAAAUUGAGGAGGGAAUUCACCCUGACUCAUUCCACAAAGCCAGUAUCACCCUGAUACUAAAGACAAGGAUACAAGAAGAAAAGAAAACUACAGAGCAACAUUCCCCGUGAACAUAGAUACAAAAAUCCUCAACAAAAUACUAGCAAAUAGAAUCCAAGAGCAUAUCCAAAAGAUAAUACAGGAUGAUCAACUGGGUUUUAUUCCAAGGAUACAAGGAUGAUUCAACAUAUGCAAAUCAAUACAUGUGAUUCACCACAUAAACAGAACUAAGGACAUAAGCCAUAUGAUCAUCUCAAUAGAUAUAGAAAAACCAUCUGAUAAAAUUCAGCAUCACCUCAUGAUAAAAACACUCAACAAACUAGGCACAGAAGGAACAUACCAUAAAAUAAUAAAGCCCCAUAUAUGACAAACCCAUAGCCAACCUCAUACUGAACGGUGGAAAGUUGAAAGCAUUCCCUCCAAGAACUGGAACAAGUCAAGAAUGUCCACAUUUACCACUCCUAUUUAACAUAAUACUGGAAGUCCUAGCCAGAGGAAUGAGGCAAGAGAAACAAAUUUUAAAAAUCCACAUUGGAAAAGAGGUAGUAAAAUUAUUUCUGCUUGCUGAGGUUAUGAUCUUAUAUCUAGAAAAUACUAAAUCCUUUAGAUUUAAUAAAUGAAUUCAGUAAAGUUUCAGGAUACAAAAUCAACAGACAAAAAUCAGUAGCAUUUCUAUAAACCAAUAAUGAUCAAGCUGAGAACCAAAUCAAGACAGCAAUCCCAUUUACAAUAACUAAAAUUAAAACAACAACAACAACAAACCACCUUAGGCUGGGUAUGGUGGCUCAUGCCUGUAAUCCCAGCAUCUUGGGAGGCUGAGGUGGGCAGAUCGCUUGAGCCCAGCAGUUCGAGACCAGCCUGGGCAACAUGGUGAAAUCCUGUUUCUACAAAAAAUACAAAAAAUUAGCUGGGCAUGGUGGUGCACACCUAGAGUCCCAGUUACUUGGGAGGCUGAGGUGGGAAGAUUGCUUGAGUCUGGGAGGCAGACAUCGUACCAAUGUACUCCAGCUUGGGUGGCUGAGAGGGACCUUGUCUCAGUGAAAAUAAAACAAAUAAAAACAAAACAAAAAAUCCUGGAAAUAAAUUUAACCAAGGAGGUGAAAGAGCUCUACAAGAAAAGCAGCAAAACACUGAUGAAAGAAAUUAUAGAUGACCCAAAUAAAAGGACAAAUAUCUCAUGUUCAUGGAUCAGAAGAAUUAAUAUUGUCAAAAUGACCAUACUGCCCACAGAAAUCUACAGAUUCAAUGCAAUUCCUAUCAUUAGAAAAAUGAUGUUGAUAAUUUAUUGGAAUUAGAAACAAAUUCUAAAAUUUGUAUGCAACCAAAAAAGAGCCUGAAUAGCUAAAGUAUUCCUAAGCAAAAUGAACAAAGCUGGAGGCAUCACAUUAUCUGAGUUCAAAUUAUACUACAAGGCUAUAGUAACCAAAACAGCAUGGUACUAGUAUAAAGGUAGACAUAUAGAUCAGUAUGACAGAAUAGAGAACCCAGAAAUAAAACCACAUAUUUAGAGACAAUUGAUCUUUGACAGAGCUGACAAAAACACACACUGGGGAAAAGAUACCCUGUUCAAUAAAUGGUGCUGGAAAAAUUGAAUUGCGAUAUGCAGAAGAAUGAAAUUGGAACCAUAUCUCUCACCACAUAAAAAAAUCAACUCAAGAUAGAUUCAAGACUUAAAUAUAAGACUCAAAACUAUAAAAAUACUAGAAGAAAACCUAGGAAAAACGAGACAUUGGUAUAGGCAAAGAAUUAAUGACUAAUAUCUCAAAAGUACAUAUGACAAAGACAAAAAUAGACAAGUGGGACUUAGUUAAACUCUUCUGCACACCAAAAGAAAUAAAUAACAGAUGCUGGGUGCAGUGGUUCACAUCUAUAAUCCCAACACUUUGGGAGGCUGAGGCGGGCAGAUCACUUGAGGCCUGGAGUUCCAGACCAGCUUGGCCAACAUGGCAAAAUCCCAUCUCUACUAAAAUAUUAGCUGGGCAUGGUGGCACACACCUGUAAUCCCAGCUACUUGGGAGGCUGAGGCAUGAGAAUUGCUUGAAGCCUGAGAGCCGGAGGUUGCAGUGAGCUGAGAUCAUGCCACUGUACUUCAUCCUGAGAGACAGAGUGAGAUUCUUAAACAAAAAACAAAAAACAAAAACAACAGAAAUAAACAACAGAGUGGACAGAGAGCCUGCAGAAUGGGAGAAAAUAUUUGCGACUUAUGCAUCUGACAGGGGACUAAUAUCCAGAAUUUACAAGGAAUUCAAACAACUCAACAACAACAAAAUACAAAUAACCCCAUUAAAAAGUGGGCAAAGGACAUGAAUAGACAUUUUAAAAGAAGAUAUACAAAUGACCAAAAAGCAUAUGAAAAAAUGCUCAUUAUUACAAAUCAUCAGAGAAAUGCAGAUGAAAACCAGAACAUGAUACCAUCUUACACCAAUCAGAAUGGCAAUUAAAAAAAAAAAACCCAACAGAUACUGGUGAAGAUGUGAAGAAAAGGGAACUCUUAUACAUUGUUGGUGGGAAUGUAAAUUAGUACAACCUCUUUGGAAAAUAAUAUGGAGAUUUCUCAAAGAACUAAAAGUAGAACUACCAUUGAAUCCAGCAACCCCACUACUGGGUAUCUACCCAAAGGAAAAGAAAAUAGUUAUAUCAGAGAUAACUUGCACAUGCAUGUUUAUCACAGCACAAUUUACAAUAUAUAUGCAAUGGAAUUAUUAUUCAGCCAUAAAGCAGCAACACGAAUGGAACUGAAGG